UGCGCGCGCGCAGUCUCUGCUGUCCAAUCCCUGUAUCCCUGGGGCACAUGCGCAGUGACCCAGGGACACACGGGACAUCUGGACGCAGGGACAACAUGGACAUUAUUAUAUAGGAUGUCCACCACUUUGGAGGCUAUACACAAAGCUGCCAAUCCCAACCCCUUGAUCCACUGACUGGAGAGAGUUAGGAUGGAGUGGAGUUGCCUUCCCAUUAGUUGAGAAGACCUCUGCCAGCAAAGGAACAGGGGCUGCCCUCACACAAGCCUGGACCUGACACAACUAAUUUCAUCACUAUUAGAACUGGACAAGGAGAUGAAAAUCAAAUAUCUACAUGGGGAAGGAAAACGGAAGUCCAUGCCACACCUCUUCUCCUGGCUAGCAUGUGAGAACUCAGACUGCUCACAUAUUCCAUCUUUAAGUCACCGUGUCCGUUUUGUAUGAAGAAUGUUUCUUAGGAAUGUACUUGCAUGCAUCAACAGGUGGCAGUUCCCCUCUCCCAGGAAAAAGGCAUGAAAACUAACAGGUUUUCAGAUGCGAUCGACCAGCUCUUACCAUGGGCAUUCAGAAGAAAACACUCAUCAUGCGAAACGGACUUUAUAAAAUCAUCUGGAAUUAAUCUAAUGAAAUCAAGAACCUCCUUUGUUUAUGCACAUUUCUGUGAAGCUGGGAGAUGGGAAACACUCCAUCCAAAUCUUUUUUUCCAGAACUCAAAAGGUCAAAUGAUGGCCAAAAGCUUACUUACACCCCAGUUCCUUAUUCUCCCCCCCCCACAUCUAUUUUAGUUAUUUGUAGAGUGAAUACAUGCCCUUGAUUUUUUUUUUAGCCAGGCAGUGCCCGCGGGCCUCAAACCGCUGGAAUCGAUUGGGAGAUCCAAGCAAUGGAUCCGCUGGGCUAAGCUAGCUCAGUACACACCCCUGAUACGGUAAUAUCCUGCACCAAAAUGAAGAUACGUAAUAGGCCAAGCAUGAUUCAAUUAGAGAAUGCUCUCCUAAUUGUGUGAGUGUACGAUUUGCAGUGGCACAAAGCUAAUUGUGAGAUUUCUUAUUUGUUAUUUGCAACCACACAUUUAGGACUGUUCCUCAAACAUGACAAUAUUGAUUGGAGAAAAUAAUUGUGGAUGUCCCAGGAAUCAGUCCUUCAGUCAUGAAGGCCAAUGUUUAUGUUGGGUUUCAGGGUCAUAUGAAUGUGUGGUUUUUAAAGUUUCCUGAAAAUAUCUGGAAACUAGCAAUCAGCAUCAUUUUCAGAAAUGAAAACUGAGGGUAAAAGGGUUGGGGGAUGAAAGGCAUGCAUAAAGCAUUCCCUGAUCACAGUUUUUCACUCGAAAUCAACCUCUCCUUUCACUAGACUGGGCUCUGUACAAAGAAUAGUGCAUUUUAAUAUCCAGGUGUGUGUAGAAACCACUCACCUGGUGAGGUGGAACUGCUAUACUACGGUAGCAUCCUAGCAGGUGGGUCACUGCUUACUAGGAGAUACCGUGGAAGGUCCAAGGUUGUAGGGAAGACAGUUCAGUGAAAACACAUUGGCAGGAGUGCCCCACCAGCAGGGACGUUCAUGUAGCAAAUCCACCCUAUCCUUCAAGCUGCUUCUGGAUACGUGGCUUCUGUCUUCAUAAUAAUUUAUUUAUUUUAAAUUUACACCCUGCUGUUCCUCCCAAAACGGUCCCAAUGCAGAACAAUGAAGCUAAGAGUAGCAUCUCUCUCAAAUCUAUCUGAGUGUGUGUUUUCUUCUCUUUGUAUUGUGUUCUCACAGAACUUAAAAUCCAUCAUUUUGGCAGUCAAGUUUCCAAUGUCAGCCCUACUCAGAGUAAAACACAUUACAAUUAAUGGACAUGACCACUGUAGCCCUAUUUCAAUGGGUCUACUCUAAGCAGGAUUAUCAUUAGAUACAACCUAUGUUCUAGACCUGAAACAAAUAAUAUUUUAAAUCCCAUGAUACUUGGAAAAAGCAAAAGUGAGUUCUUACUGGUAGUAGGUUCUGGUGUGGUAGUCGUGGUGGUAGUCGUGGUUGUGAUAUCCGGAAUGACUGUAUAACCUGUAGUAGAAGGAAUUGGAAAACAACAUUGCAGGUAUAUGUGUAUAACUGUGACAUCUCCUUAGAGGGGCGACUCUUGAGUCUUCCAGUCCACACAAUUAACCCAUGCCCCCAAGCAUACUGGGAUAACUUGGUUGUUGCUAUGUAUGUCUCCUAACAAUAUAGUAACCCAAGUUGCACGGCCCUACUCAAUAAGCUCAUGAGCACAAAUCAUAACUGCUCAGUAAAAAGGGCAUCUGGAGCAGCUGUGAAGGAGGGGUGGGUGGAAGAGAGACAGGAUCAGACCAAGACAUUUUCCUUCCUUAGGCAUCAAGAUGCUGGCCCUAUCAUUCCAUGCACAGUAGCUGACUGGACUGGCAAUUCAAUCUUAUUUCAAUGCUAGCUAUGGGACAAUGUCCUCCACCACUUCUGAAUGCAGCAGGCUAGAUGCAGGCAUCAGAACAGGCCACAUGGCACAUGCAGCUAUCCUCCAAUAACAGUGUUCAACGAGGGUGUUCAGGAGUAGUAGCCUGGGGCUGUUGCCACUACCACACCCAUCAAGCACAGUUCCCCACACCUGCUCAUGCAAGAGACAUUUUGGAAGAAUGAAAAUAAUCAGUAUGUAAAGUAUCUAAAGAUUACUUAGAAUGCAAUCCUAAAAUAUUGUGGUGAACUAAUUUAAGAUGUACCUUAUUAUUAUUAUUAUUAUAUACGUAAAGGGACCCCUGACCAUUAGGUCCAGCCGUGAGCGACUCUGGGGUUGCAGCACUCAUCUUGCAUUAUUGGCCGAGGGAGCCGGCGUACAGCUUACAGGUCAUGUGGCCAGCAUGACAAAGCUGCUUCUGGCGAACCAGAGCAGCACACGGAAACACCAUUUACCUUCCCGCUGUAGCAGUACGUAUUUAUCUACUUGCACUUUGAGGUGCUAUCGAACUGCUAGGUUGGCAGGAGCUGGGACCGAGCAACGGGAGCUCACCCCGUUGCAGGGAUUCGAACCACCGACCUUCUGAUCGGCAAGCCCUAGGCUCUGUGGUUUAACCCACAGCGCCACCUGUGUCCCUAACUCCUUUUUUUAAUAGAAGUGCUAUAUUGAUACAGUUAGUUUCCCAUGAGCUCAAGUGAACAUUUUGUUGAGUUCUGGCAUCUGCUCUCUCUUUUUUUAAGCUAUAAAAAUAAUUCAUGCUUUACUUUCAUCUAAAGUUCAAAGCCUAUUCUGGCUCUUUCAUAAAAACUGAUUUAUGGAGUCAGAUCAACGGCCUCUCUGACCAUCAGUUCAUUUCUAACCGCGAUCAUUUCUGGAUAACUGAAGAGGCAUCAAAUACAAAAUCAUCCUGUUAUAGUCAUGCUUCAUAACUUUGCAAAUAUGUCCCCAAAUUGUUGCCAAAAUCUGUAAGUGGAACUUUGGUAAAAAAAACUUGCUACAUCUAAUGUACUCUGGGAUAGCAAUUACCU